rnacentral:rRNA from 1 species
CCAGACUCCUACGGGAGGCAGCAGUGGGGGAUAUUGGACAAUGGGGGAAACCCUGAUCCAGCGACGCCGCGUGAGUGAAGAAGUAUUUCGGUAUGUAAAGCUCUGUCAGCAGGGAAGAAAGAAAUGACGGUACCUGACCAAGAAGCCCCGGCUAACUACGUGCCAGCAGCCGCGGUAAUACGGAAGGUCCGGGCGUUAUCCGGAUUUAUUGGGUUUAAAGGGAGCGUAGGCCGGUCUUUAAGCGUGCCGUGAAAUUUUGUGGCUCAACCAUGAGAGUGCGGCGCGAACUGGAGACCUUGAGUGCGCGGAAGGCAGGCGGAAUUCGUGGUGUAGCGGUGAAAUGCUUAGAUAUCACGAAGAACCCCGAUUGCGAAGGCAGCCUGCCGCAGCGUUACUGACGCUGAAGCUCGAAAGCGCGGGUAUCGAACAGGAUUAGAUACCCUUGUA